GUAAAACUCUGUCUUCUGUGACGAACAAGCCUGUGAGUAAAAUGCUCAGGCCCUGACGGUAACAGACGGAGGAAGCCACGGCUAACUACGUGCCAGCAGCCGCAGUAAUACGUAGGUGGCAAGCGUUGUCCGGAAAUCACUGGGCGUAAAGCGCGCGCAGGCGGCGAUCUACGUCUGGGGUGAAAGCCCGGAGCUCAACUCCGGGACUGCCUUGGAUACGGGAUCGCUUGAGAAUUGGAGAGGCAAGGGGAAUUCCACGUGUAGCGGUGAAAUGCGUAGAUAUGUGGAGGAACACCUGUGGCGAAGGCGCCUUGCUGGCCAAUUUCUGACGCUGAGGCGCGAAAGCGUGGGGAGCAAACAGGAUUAGAUACCCUGGUAGUCCACGCCGUAAACGAUGAGUGCUAGGUGUUGGGGGGUACCACCCUCAGUGCCGAAGCUAACGCAUUAAGCAACUCCGCCUGGGGAGUACGGUCGCAAGACUG
rnacentral:rRNA from 1 species